GCUUUGAGUUGGCAGAUUUUAGUUGUGUUCACUAAUAUUUUAGCAGUUUUUCUUAUUUAUAGGAUGUGACACGACUUUGUGUGAAACUACCAUCCCAACAUGUACAAAUGGUCAAAAAUUGAUUGUUGGCCACAGUCCUCUUUCUUGCUGUCCACAGUACAAAUGUGAAUGUGACCCAUUGAAAUGCCCCAGUAUUUCAACACCAGAAUGCAGAGAAGACCAAUUCAUGAUUCAAGUUCAACAGGAAGAACCUUGUUGUUUUUCCCCUUUUUGUGUUUGUGAAUCUUGCACCAAACCUGUUCCACUAUGUCAUGAUGGGGAAUUUCUCACAGUAGAUCUUAAUAGCACACACUUCUGUUGUCCUCAGUAUUACUGUGUAUGUGAGCCAAACCUUUGUCCUAUGCCAUUACUCAACUGUGCAGAAGAUAUGAAUCUUGUGAAAGAAAAUGUAUUUGGUCAAUGUUGCCCAACAUGGCACUGUGAAUGUAACUGUGAAAACCUUGUUAUGCCAACUUGUGAAGUGGGAGAAUUUACUGCAAUAGACCAUAACUUCCAGAGUGAUUGUGGAUGCAUACAGUAUCUCUGUGAAAAGGAUGAUGUGUGUGUAUUUCAAGAAGUAUCAGUAUUGAAUCCUGGACAAUCCAUGAUAAAGUAUUUGGAAGAAGACUUUUGUUAUACUAUAGAGUGUCUGGAAGAAAAAGAUAACCAUACAGGCUUUCACACUCUGAAUUUUACACUGGUGAAUUGUUCAAAGAAAUGUGAUGUUCACCAGGUAUAUACUCCAUCCCCAAGUGAUUAUGAUUGUUGUGGUACCUGCAAAAAUGUAUCCUGCAAAUUUCAUAUGGAAAAUGGAACAUCAGUUGUAUACGUGGUAGGGAGUACCUGGCACUACAAUUGCACCACAUAUGAAUGUGUUAAAACUGAUGAAGGAGCAAUAAUUCUGAACUACACUAUGGUCUGUCCCCCUUUUAAUGAGACUGAAUGCAAAAUGAAUGAAGGGAUUGUGAAGCUUUAUAAUGAAGGCUGUUGCAAGAUCUGCAAACGAGAAGAAAGAAUAUGCCAGAAAGUGAUCAUUAAAUCGGUCAUAAGGAAACAGGACUGUAUGAGCCAAAGCCUUAUAAAUGUUGCAUCUUGUGACGGCAAAUGCCCAUCAGCUACCAUAUAUAACAUCAAUAUUGAAAGUCACCUAAGAUUCUGCAAGUGUUGUCGUGAAAAUGGAGUACGAAACUUGUCUGUGCCUCUGUAUUGCUCAGGAAAUGGCACUGAAAUUAUGUACACUCUCCAGGAACCCAUAGACUGUACAUGCCAGUGGAAUUAAACUCUUAGGUUCCAAGAACUCUAUACAACAUCAUAACGUCAGAUAGAAUUAACUUUUAUUACUAUUACUUAGGCAUGUGGCAGAUUUAUGCUGUUUAACAAUACUGUAUUUUUCAGACUUGGAAUGUGGAAAUUUAGCAAUUGGUACAAAAUAUAUACAGUUUCAAUAGCAAAAUUAAAGGUAUUGCUUUACUCUAUUUUAGAAAAUCAAAUGACUAAGUUGUUCAGCUGAAAUGCUGUUAUGUAUUUAAUUGCAACUUGGUGCAGAUACAGUAUAUUCUCAUCAAUUGGAAGGUUAUUUUGCAAAAUUCCUUUGAUUUCACUCAAUAGCUCUUUUUUUCUUAAUUUGCGAAGUCUGCUAUAGCUAUCCAAAUUAAGAUACCCUUUAAUAUGUACUCCUUAAUCUGGUAAAUGUGAUCAGUUAAAAUUGUCAUCUAGAUGGCAAUAAAGAGUGAUAUGCUUAGAGAUAGAUAAUAGAUUAUUUAAAACCUGAAUGGUUAUUAGAGAAGUCAUUAUAAAUUCCCCUCAUUUUGCAGGUGUAACAGAUAACCAGAGAAGCUGUGUGACUCGUACAAAUUUAUUCAGUGUAAUAAUAUAGUAAAUUCAUGUUAACAGUUGGAUUAAAUUCUAGCUCUCUCUUAUUCCAGUACUAUAUCACUUUUAAAAUCCUGAGCAGUAUGUAGUAAGAGGAUAUCACAGAAUCUUUCAUUCUUAAAGAGUUUGCAUUGGAUAGAAUUAAGUAUUUUAAGUUUAACAUGUUUGAAAAAUGUCCCCCAUACACUGUUAUUCCAAUAGUAAGGAGCAGGGAAAUAUAGCAUCAUUUGCUAAAUAGAGGAGAUAGAUCUUGAACUGUUAUUUUUUAUAUAAUUAAAACUGCUAUUAAAUGUGUUGUCAGUAUUUAACAUUUAGUUACUGUCUCAUUAAUAUUUAAUUUUGAGGAUGUACUUGCAUACUAUUGAAGUUGAGUGCUGUUUUGCUGUUAAUGCUGCUGCUUUGCCAAUGAAGAAUGAAAUAAAUUUAUCUGAAUGUAUCAAUAACUUU
rnacentral:sRNA from 1 species